GACGAAGGAUGCAAGCGUUAUCCGGAUUCAUUGGGUUUAAAGGGAGCGUAGGCGGCCUUAUAAGUCAGUGGUGAAAUCUCCUCGCUUAACGAGGAAAUUGCCAUUGAUACUGUAGGGCUUGAGUACAGUUGCCGUUGGCGGAAUAUGACAUGUAGUGGUGAAAUACAUAGAGAUGUCAUAGAACACCGAUUGCGAAGGCAGCUAACGAAGCUGUAACUGACGCUGAGGCUCGAAAGUGCGGGGAUCAAACAGG
rnacentral:rRNA from 1 species